UCCCUCAUCUUUUUCCCCCUAGUUUAAACAAAUAAAUAAAUAGGCAUACAAUUAAAAACUGAAGUGCUGCUCCAAACAAAACAUUCAACAACGCAGCUAAUUUACAGGCUCUUUACACACCUCAAACGCAAAUUUUUGAACAUCCAUUCUUACUUUCUAAAAAUAGAAAUUUGAUAGAGACAAGUUUUCAGACGUGCACACACAACAAUGAAACUGAGUACUUCAACCACACCACUGUUGGCUCUGUUUCUCAUAACUCAGACUGUGAUUAAUCCCCUUCGAUCCCUUCACUAGCAGGGGAUCAAUCAUCCUCCUCAAGGUGGCGCUUUUUACUUCUCUUCUCAUAUCGCUUUGUAGCCCUUCCAACUCGUGAGUCAUCAAAGCCACUCAAAUCAGAAUCAGAUGGUGAUGCUGGCUUCCUGGUCUUUCGCCUGUGCCUUCUGCCAGAGUCAUCAGAUGCAUUUGAUUCAGAAUCAUCAGCAUAUCUACGACUUCUCCUCCUAUUCUCCUUCCCACUCUUCCUCUUAUGAUGCCGCCUCUCUUCCUCUUCUUCAGAGGACUCAUCCCUCUUUCUCCUUUUCU
rnacentral:misc_RNA from 1 species